rnacentral:rRNA from 1 species
GUUUGAUCAUGGCUCAGGAUGAACGCUGGCGGCGUGCUUAACACAUGCAAGUCGAACGAACCUUCGGGUUAGUGGCGGACGGGUGAGUAACGCGUGAGAAUCUGCCCUCAGGAGGGGGAUAACGGUUGGAAACGACCGCUAAUACCCCAUAUGCCUACUGGUGAAAUGAAUUUCGCCUGAGGAUGAGCUCGCGUCUGAUUAGCUAGUUGGUGAGGUAAUGGCUCACCAAGGCUUCGAUCAGUAGCUGGUCUGAGAGGAUGAUCAGCCACACUGGGACUGAGACACGGCCCAGACUCCUACGGGAGGCAGCAGUGGGGAAUUUUCCGCAAUGGGCGAAAGCCUGACGGAGCAACGCCGCGUGAGGGACGAAGGCCUCUGGGCUGUAAACCUCUUUUCUCAAGGAAGAAGAUAUGACGGUACUUGAGGAAUAAGCCACGGCUAAUUCCGUGCCAGCAGCCGCGGUAAUACGGGAGUGGCAAGCGUUAUCCGGAAUUACUGGGCGUAAAGCGCGCGUAGGUGGCAUACUAAGUUAGAUGUGAAAUCCCGGGGCUUAACCUCGGAACUGCAUCUAAAACUGGUAAGCUAGAGUACUAGAGAGGAAAGUAGAAUUCUUAGUGUAGCGGUGGAAUGCGUAGAUAUUAAGAGGAAUACCAAUGGCGAAGGCAGCUUUCUGGAUCAUUACUGACACUGAGGAACGAAAGCAUGGGUAGCGAAGAGGAUUAGAUACCCUCGUAGUCCAUGCCGUAAACGAUGUGUGUUAGACGUUGGAAAUUUAUUUUCAGUGUCGCAGCGAAAGCAUUAAACACACCGCCUGGGGAGUACGACCGCAAGGUUAAAACUCAAAUGAAUUGACGGGGACCCGCACAAGUAGUGGAGCAUGUGGUUUAAUUCGAAGAUACGCGCAGAACCUUACCAACACUUGACAUGUUCGUCGCAACUUUAAGAGAUUAAAGUUUUCGGUUCGGCCGGACGAAACACAGGUGCUGCAUGGCUGUCGUCAGCUCGUGUCGUGAGAUGUUGGGUUAAGUCCCGCAACGAGCGCAACCCUCACUUUUAGUUGCCAUCAUUUAGUUGGGCACUCUGAAAGAACUGCCAGUGAUAAGCUGGAGGAAGGUGGGGAUGACGUCAAGUCCUCAUGGCCCUUACGUGUUGGGCUACACACGUGCUACAAUGGUAUUUACAACAGGAAGCAAAACAGCGAUGUUAAGCAAAUCCUUAAAAAAUACCUCAGUUCGGAUUGCACUCUGCAACUCGAGUGCAUGAAGCUGGAAUUACUAGUAAUCGUGGAUCAGCGUGCCACGGUGAAUGCGUUCCCGGGUCUUGUACACACCGCCCGUCACACCAUGGGAGUUGGUUCUACCUUAAGGCAAGGCAUAAAACCCUUGACCACGGUAUAGUCAGCGACUGGGGUGAAGUCAUAACAAGGUAGCCGUA